rnacentral:lncRNA from 1 species
AAAUAAUGAUUAAAAUUAUAAAAACUAAAUUAUUAAUAAAUAUAUCACAAAACAAUCACAAAUAUUAAAAACUGAAAUUUCAAACAAUUAUUGGAGAAUUAGGCUUACGAUUUCACCCUAAGCUUCACUCUGAUUUUUUACACCUUUAUUCCAGUUCAAAUCACUAUCCCAAUUUAUUAAUCAAGAACACGAAUGUAGCAUUAGCCACCUCUCGAUGUACUAAUACCGUAUUAACUCAAAUCCACAAUUUAGAUAGAAACAAGUUAAACACCUUAAUUAACUAACUCACUAUGUCUCUAUGCGUAUUAUAACUGAAGAAGGUUUAAGUUUAAGUCCUUUAUCCGAUUACAUGCGAUGUCAAGCAUAUCUCUACCUUAACAUACAUCAAGAUUCUGCUCAUUCACAAAAUUCAAGAACACAUGUUAUAUUAACUAAGUCUAGACUCGUACUUCCUCUCUCGAAUCCAUACAAGUACACAAAGAACUGUUGAUCAGGCAAUUCAUAAAUUAAGCUCAAAUUAAUAUAGAUAAACUGGAUAAUAGUUUAUUCAAUUGGAACUCAAAGCCACAUAAUCAUCGUUUCACUUAAAGAUCCAUUAUAAGCCUAAAAGAUAAAUUAGUUCAUCGUCAAUGAAUUAAUAACUGAAUAAAUUAAAGAUAACAUCUUUUCAAUUACAAAUAUAAGACUAAGAAGAAGAAUAAUGUAGAACACCUUUCACGUUAGCCUUAAUCCGCAAUUGCUAUGAACGUUCUUUCAAAAUCCUCUCUCCAAUGCUCGCUAUCAAAAUCUGUAUGUAAUCUCUGUCAAUUGCCUUGUGUGUCUUCGAUUUCGUUGUUUGUUGCUCAAUAUAAAUCCAACACACAAGUUUUGGUCGAAGUCCCAUGUCAAUUAGAGUCCAAACGCUACCCAAGUGCUCAAAAUCCUCAUUCUAGCAGAGUUUGCAACAAGCUAGGAGUGUCAGAAUCCGGCACCCCGCGCCCCAGCGGGGGUGUAUACGUGAAAAUGGCCCGCCCCGGUGGGCUAGGCUACUGCUAAACAAUCUUGAAGACCCCCUGCCCCGGCGGGGGUGAAAGGCUUAAUUAGGCCCGCCCUGGCGGGAAUGGGUUUUGCUUUUUGACUUGGUUUGAACUUCAAACUUGCUCCAAAAUCGCUUCAAAUGCUUUCUUUUUUCAAUCACGUGCCGCACCAACCACCCUACACAUAAAACAACAAUAAACAAGUAAAACUAAACAUGAAAUCAAGGUUUUAACAACGAAUAAGCUUGAAUUAGACCCCGAUUCGUGGAUAUAAAAUCAACUUAUCAGUUGGCAUCAAUAUUUGGGUUGUUAUUGAUAAGGUGAUUAUCUUUUCAUCUGUUAUUAGUUGUCGUAAUGCAAUUUGGUUGUUGGUUUGUAACUGUAUGUGAGAAUUUCUACUAAUAAUAAUGGAGACAAGAUAUUGAUUGGACGUGUCAAAUAACAUCUUUAUAUUUUAGUUGUUUCUUAGUUUACACGGGUUCAUUCCUAUACCUUUUAGCAAUUCCUAUACAAUCAACUAGAAUUUUGGGUAAACACAGGGUAAUUUGCAUUCUAUUCGGAUAAAUAUCUCACGAGAUAAACUGCAUCAUAUUUAAAUUAUGGAAUUGAAUUUGUAUGAAAAGUAUCCGAGACUAGAAAAUAUAUAGCACAUACAAAAAACAAUGAUGUAAUUAGUGUUUAUAAACCCACUUAGACAGUCAUAGCUACCAAUCAGAAAUGAUUUAUAGUAGCAGUCUUCUUCCCUUGGUGGCCUGGUCAAUGUGAAGAUCCUCUCUCUCUUACAUUCUUCCUUGUAAUUGGUAAUGGUGUCUUCUUUAACUCUAAUUUAUGGUUCACUUCUUUAUUAUUUCUAUGUUAUGUUUGUUUUUCUUUGUCAUACUUUAAUUUAUUCCUUUUUCUAGAAAUUUUGAUGGGUUUGUUUUGGAUUUAAUUGAUGCUUUUGUAGUUGAAGAUGGGUUUAGUUUUUGUUUUUUGAUAUGAGUUUUUACUAUGAUUCAAAUCUGCCUGCUUUAGUUCAGUUUUAUUGGAUUCAUCUAUGUUAGAAUAAGAUAUUAAUUUAGUGGAAUUCAAAAAUUUCAAAUUUUGGUAUAUGUUCUAUGAGUUCAUUAGACUAAAUUUUUAUACCAAAGUUGUAAUCUUUAGUCAUUCCAAAUUAUGUAUUGAAAUCAACCUUUAGUUUACUUGUAGAAUAUGUCAAUUUUGGUGUAUUUUGUAGUUAAUUUAAGAUUAUAAGUUGUUGUCAUGCUGAUAGAAACUUCAGAAAUGUAAAGGUUAUACUGAAUAGUUGACUGAAAAAAGAUAAUUGAUCUACGGUGGGAGAAGAAUUAGAUAUAGGAGGGAGUACUUACAUUUCUGGGCAUAAUUGUUUUUCUUACUUGUUUGUGGGUGGCACAAUGGGAUCAAGUAUUGGUACGCGUUAUGGGCCAGCCUAUCUCCAUAUGUUAUUAUUCAUCUAUCAUUGUCAAUCUCAUCGUGCAAUAUAUAGUACAAAUAUACGCUGUUUGUUGACUAAACAUAUUUUAAUUUCUUUUAUCCCAUGGAUUUAGCUUCUACUUACAGAAUGUGGUGAAUAUAUUUGUUAUGCAAGACCUCAUGAGUUCCUUUACUUUUGGUAGGCUUUUAAUUGUUUCAGCUUCUUUGUGACACAUGACCAUGCUUCACCAGUUUGAACCGGUCUAAAUGAAGUUCCAAGUGGUAGUUGUUCUUGUCUGUCUCAUUAGCUUCACUUCAAUUCAACACAUUCUUUGCGGUUAGUAUCAAUUCAUGAACCAUGUUUAAGAAGGUAUCUUUUAGUGUUACUAACAAAAAUCAAAGUUAUCAUGAAUUUAGUUGUGGUAUUUUGUAAGCAGACUUUUUCUUGGAUCAGUAUUAGCAAUUGAUAUAAAGAUUGGGAGGCCUCUACUCAAUGAAAAAAAUUAUAUAUAUAAAUUCAAGUUGGAUUUCCUUAAUAGAUACUUGUUGUUUUUUUGCCUAGAUCACAAUCAGCAAUUGAUAUACAAGAUUGGGAGGCCUCUACUUAAUGAAAAAAUUAUAUAUGUAAAUUCAAGUUGUAUUUCUUUAAUAGAUACUAGUUGUUUUUUUAACUACAAGAACAACAAUAAUAAAACAAGUACCUUUUCUCAGCAAUUGGAAAUAUAGUAAACUUAAUAUACUGACUUACUUUGUGGCAGAUGAACUUUUUGAUACAUCUAGUGGAAACAAAUGGAUAUGUGCUUCUUCUUUCUAAUUUAAGUUCACCAGUUCAAUCUUUUCUUAUUCCUCGUCUUAUUGAAAUUGAAUUUUGGUGUUUCUAUUGCAGCAUGAAGUUUACAUGUCCAACCUUGAUUUUCUUGAAGAAAAUGAUGAUGAAGUGGAUCUAACAUGCCACACUUUAUUCCUUCUAGUUCAUUGUAAUUCUUUCAGAUUCUUAUGUUAGUUAAUAAAUUUUGUAGGUACUAUGGUCCUAGUGACCAAGAUAAAAUAACAAAUUUUGUAGUUAUUGUGACUCGAGUAUUAUGAUAUAUUUAUAUGUGAAGUUUUAAUUUUAUUAGCUCUUUAUGCAUUAGCUUAUCAAUUAGUUUGAAAAAAAUAUGUCAAUAUUUAUAUUUACUUGAAAAAUAAAUUUAAUAUUUCUUAUAGAGAUUAAUAAUAAUAAUAAAUGUGAUCAAUGAUUUAAAAUUCAAUUAUAAUUUUCAAUGAAUUUUGAUUAUUUAGUAAUUAAUUUUUUUAUUUACAAAUUUAUAAUCUGUGAAUGAAUUUUCUCACUAAUUUGAAGAAAGAUUUUCAAUUUAUAAUUAGUAAACGAAAAUAUUCUCUCUUUAAAUAAAUUUGUUCCUCACAAUAUAUUAUUUAUGAUGGAAUCAAGUUAUUCACUAAUUUCAAAUAGUCCUUAAAAUAUUAUUUGUGAAGGAAACUAAUCUUUCACUAAAUAACAAUAUUCCAUUACCAAAUACAAUUUGUGAAUAAAAAAAUUAUUCACAAUAUAUCCUUCACAAAAAAUAUUUAGUUACUACGUAGCGAAGGAUACCCAAUUGCGAGGAGGUCUAAUGCGAGCAAUCGUGUGAAGAAAUAUUUCUUCGCAAUAAAUCAUUUGUGAGUGAUAUAGUAUGUCUUGUGAAGGAUUUGUCUUUCACUAGAUGCCAUUUUUGGUGUAGUGCUUUCAUACACGAUGAACACAUGCAAUAUGCACAUAGUGAGAUUCAACAAAUCAUAGACGUGAUAAUCAGCAAUGAUAUACCACAAAUACAUUUAAAUAGUCAUAACUCAGGUUUGAGUUAGAGAGAACUUGCCUUUAUCGCCGACUACUGCUACGCAAUCUAUAUCGCUUUUUCUGAAGACCUAAUAUAGAUAAUACCUAUCUCCAAAUAUUAGAAUAAUAUCGUCACAGUAUAAUAUUAUUAAAUACAAUUAUAAAAUAACCUAAACACAUAACCAUAGCAGUCCACAAACUACCUAAGACUCAGUAUCAAGUCAAACUAUUUCAGUCUGAGUUGAGUCUGGUAUAAUUUCGACAUCCCGACGGCCUAGUCGGAUAAUUAUCGAGCCUAAUAUAUAUAAGACCCUGUCUAAACGCAACACAAUUAUCUUAGAUAAUUUAUUAAUCAGUCAAAAUAAUUUUCCAAUGGCUCGUAAAAUUUUUUAAGUAAUUAUUAUCAUUUAUCAUGAUUUUUCAAUCAUUAAUAUCAUAUUUAUAUGAUUUAAAUUCACUUAAUUCCAUUAUCAUUAAUAUUUAUUUAAUAUAAAAUAUUAAUAAAAAUCAUGACAUAAUAUUAUAAAUUAUUUAUAAUAUUUCAAAGUUUUUUUUAACACUUUAUUAUUACCUUUACAUGAUUUUAACGUAAUUAAAACUAUUAUUAAAUAAUUGUCCUUAAUAUUAAAAUAAUAAUAUUUUUCAUGACAAAAUAUCAAAAGUUAUAUUUUAUAACUUAAAAUAUUUUUAUAACCUUUAAAUCAUUU